UCUCUCCCUUUGAACAUGAACAACCUAACCCUGCAUGUAGUCGGCAGCCAUCUUGCAACCAUGAGGACGGCUACCAUCAGGGCAGUGUGAACACAGAGCACAGCAGAACCAAGAGAAGAACAGAAAAACAGACAUGGAGCCCUGAUCAAACUGUUCUUGGAGUCCCUGUGCCUCUCUGGACUUCCAGUUGGCCUUACCCAGUAUUCAAGUAGAAGACAAGAAGAAAGUGAGCGGGGCUCUUGGAAGGUGGAGACAUGUUCGCAAUUCUGUUACCAUGGAGACGCCGUAAAAUCAAAGCACUCAGAAUCACUGAGUCACUGCAUGGAAGACAGCUGCUUUGAAGAAGUGCCUGGACCCACAGCAGACUUCGCAUGGCAAGAAGUCACUUGGAGGACUGCCUUAAUCCCCUGAGAUUUUAGCGACUUUGCUACCGCAGCAUAACCUGUGACUAACCUGGUAACUCAUACAACUUAAUAUUUCACCGCGAUCAGAGACGGCGAAUACUGAUCACGAGUCUUACCAUCACCUGCUCUUGCAGGUGUGAUAGAUAUUCUUAACCCAUUGCUGAACCGUUACCCACUGAGCUGUAAGACCUCGGAAUCUUCCUCAUCACAGUCACCCGAGCAGUCACUGCUAGUGAAUCAGAGCUGGAAAGUGAAGGAAAACCCACCAGAAUCAUACCACUGAACUCAGCACAGAACCCGACUUCUCACUGUGCCUGGCAAGGCCACACAGGAGUGAAAGCUUACCCUGCUUUACAAUCUCCUUUCCGGCCACUUACUUUUCUCGCGCGCUUGCUCAGCUCCAGCCCCACUGGUCUCUUCUGCUCUUCAAACACACCAAAAAUAUUCCCAUCUCAAACCUGUAUAUUUGCUGUGCCCUCUUCUUUGAAAGCGUUUCUCUAAUAUUUUUAUAUGGCUCAAAUGUCUCCUCCUCAGACAGACUUUCCUGUCCACCUUUUUAAAUAUACCCUGCACCCUCCCCCGACUUCUUCGGUGACCAUUAAACACUGUUUUUGCUUGUCUGUUUGUUUGUUUUGCUGUUGGAUUCCUACCACUUAGCUUAGUACUCGUUGCAAAGAAGUGACUGGCCAGCCCCCAUCUAGACCUUAAGCAUUUUGAGGAGAGAGGGCGGGUCCCGUUCCUCUUUGGUUUUUCCUUGGUGCUUAAUCCAUGUAAUGUAUACAGUAGAGGCCCAUUAAAUUCCUGAUUGAUGGUUAGAAGACUUUUCUUUUCCUUCAUAUCAUGGUAGGUUCAUGUCUAUGUCUUUUGUCCUUCCUCCACCACUCACACACUCAAGAUGUCUCUU